UCUUUGCUAAUGUCACAGCUAUUUAAUUUUCGGUUCAUGCGUUUAAAUGUUAAAAGAGAGAUUUCAAUCAGGCGCUAAAGCACUUCAACGAUUCGCGGUGAUGUUUGGAUCACGUGACCUAGCCACACAUACUUCAAAAUAAGAGUCUUGUGCAAAAAUCAACUGUCCGCUUUAUUUAUUUAUAUUUUUACGUGUUUAAUAAUUUAAAAUUUAGCUUGAUUGUACUUUAAAUUUUAAAAAGUCACUUGAACACAACCAUUUAAAACUUUGUAGUUUAAAAGCGGCAAAAAUGUUUCAUUAUUUUUAAGGCUGUUAAAAUGUCACGAGGCAUUUGAUGACCCAUUGGUGAGAAGACGUUUGACUGAUCGAUUUUGAGAAAACACAUUUAGAGGAUGCAUGUGUUGAUUGAUCUGGCCUGCUGUGUGUGUGGUUUACCUGCCAUACACUGGCACUGGUCUCCAUCACAGAGUCGUAACAGCCUCUGACUUUGGCUGUAGUAUUUCAUACACUGAUAAUCUAAAGUCAGAAAGUCAGGUGAGGAAGACUUGCAUAACAUAUUAAUCUGACAUUAUUUACUGUAUGUUUAUUUUGCAAGCAGGAAACACAACACCUGGAGCAUUAAACUCAUAA